rnacentral:rRNA from 1 species
AUGCACGACAGUGCUGUUGGAGGCCACUCCGGCUCGACAGCCACUUACCAGCGCAUCAAGAAGCUGUUCGAGUGGAAGGGCCUGAAGCAGGACGUCGACGACUACGUGCGGCAAUGCCAAGUUUGCCAACAGGCAAAGCACAAGCUGCGCAAACCAGCGGGCAAGCUGGCACCCUUGCCCGUCCCAACGACUCCGUGGCAAGAUCUGACAAUGGAUUUCGUCGAGGGCCUGCCCAAGUCCGAAGGGUACGACGCCAUCAUGGUGGUGGUCGAACGCUUCACCAAGUUCGCACACUUCAUGCCCUUGCUCCAUCCGUUCACGACGACUCAGGUGGCGAAGGUGUUCUGGGACAACAUCGUCAAAUUGCACGGAAUUCCUUCCUCCAUCGUGUCAGAUCGCGACAAGGUGUUCACCAGUGUGCUCUGGCACGAGCUGCUUUCCGGCGUAGGCACCAAGCUCCUCUACUCGACGGCGUACCACCCACAGACUAACGGACAGAGUGAGCGGGUGAAUCAGUGCAUGGAAAUGUACCUGCGUUGUGCUGUCCAUGACACUCCGCGCCAAUGGCGUCGCUGGCUGCCCUCUGCCGAGUUCUGGUACAACUCCUCAUUCCAUUCAUCCUUGGGUUGCUCUCCAUUCAAGGCGCUGUACGGGGUAGAAGCAAAUGAGGGGAGCAUGGCCACUUGGCCGGCAACACAAGCAGCAUUGCCGGAUGGUGAACAGUGGGAUUGGGCAGUGCAUAAAGAGCAGUUGCAAGCACAGUUGGCUCGGGCGCAGACUAAGUACAAGAAGUUUGCAGACCGGAAUCGCACUGAGCGCGUCUUUCAGGUCGGGGAGCAAGUGCUGCUUAAACUCCAACCUUACGUUCAGAAAUCUGUGGCCAGCCGCCCGUGCGCCAAGUUGGCAUUCAAGUUCUUUGGACCAUUCUCAAUCAUAGCCAAGAUCGGUCCCUCGGUGUACAAACUGGAUCUGCCGCCCGACAGUCGCAUACAUCUGGUGUUCCAUGUUUCCCAACUGAAGCCCUUCACACCCAACUAUACACCGGUGUUCUCUGAACUGCCUGCAACUGCAGACCUGUCGGCAGUCGAUUCCCAGCCUGUGGAGAUACGGGACCGGCGAAUGAUGAAGAAGGGCGACGCGCCGGUGGUUCAGAUUCAAGUGGCAUGGAACACCACACCCCCAUCAACAACCUGGGAAGACUAUGAGGUUCUUCGAUGA